CACGUAGCCCUAUCAGUAAGGUUCCGGAAUUGUGGGUUACAACCUUGGGAUUUGGGGACACUCUGAUGCUCUGGGUUCCGGCACCUGACUUGUGCCCACCCAAACCCCAACCUUGCUAAUAACAUAAAGAUUCCAGGCGUCUUGGGGCAGCGGUGACUCACCGCAGCACCCCCUCCUCUUCGCCUAACUGCCGUCUCCGCCCACCCCCAAACCAUCUCAACAACGCACGGCGGCUCCGGGAGCUUUGCUGGGGGCUAAAGGCGUUCAUCUUCGUCCUCGCAAUCAUGGGCUAACCCUCCCCCCUCGGAGUCUUCAAGCUUGCCUCGCUCCCCACACGACCCCUCGGUUGAGCAGCGGAGAUAGAUGAGACAUCCAGAUGCGGGACUCGAGCCACUCAUAGCGCGUGGAGGGAGCAGCCAAGAGCCCCGGGUUACCAGCAACAGGACUUUCUCAUCUACAAAAUGGGAAUAAUGUGGCAUUUACCCCAACAGAACUGUUGUGAGGGUUAAACAAGAGAAUGAAGCUCACAGAAUGUGUAAGUGUGGGGCACAUUUCGAUCUGCUGAUGUAUGUGCACAGAGGAAGAAUGGAUGGAGGCUUGAAGAUGGACUUCAAAUCCUGCAGGGAUCAUGUGCUCUUGUGUUCCUGGCAAAUCCUGAGCAAUGCUUUUGUUGAGUCUGGUGUCAAGUUUGUGGCUAACACCUUUCUAAAGGGAAACAUAGGGCCUUGAUGCUCAUACUUUCUCUCUGGGACAACAUAGGAUUUUCAUUUUCAGAACAGGUACAUAUAGGAUUUCAUUAAUAAUCCAAGGUGUUAUCUAAGCCUAGUUUCGUGUCCAAUGCACUGUGGAAAACGCCUCAGGCGUUUGAGCUAAGCCACUAAGAAAGGCAAGGAAGCUAAUCCAGUUACUCUUUUUUGUGCCAGCCAUUUGACCCACUGACGUUCUGAGCACUGGUGUGCCUGCCAAGACUGGAAGCGGACCACUCCUGUACUUUUGCAUUGACUUCCCCCUGAGAGCAGGAAAGCAUCCCUUUCCUUUUUCAAGUGGACCCGGAUGCAGAGUCAACCAGUUUUAACUCCUUUUCGAGCUUGAUUAAUAGUCUUUUGAGUCAAUUCCUGGUAGGAUGUGCAUCCUACACAUAUAACUUUUUUUCAGAAAUAGGGAAAUGAGUAGUUCCUAAGAUUGGAGCCAGGAAGAAAAUUUGGAACUUCACCAGGUUUUUUGCUUUUCGGGGGGACAGUUAUAAAAGCGAUUAAGGUAAAUUUAUUUAGAACAUCACUCACACUUCCAUCAUCUAACAAUGCUUUACCAUUUUUAUUUUAUUUAUUUAU